GAUGAAGAACGUAGCGAAAUGCGAUACUUGGUGUGAAUUGCUGAAUCCCGUGAACCAUCGAGUCUUUGAACGCAAGUUGCGCCCGAAGCCAUUAGGCCGAGGGCACGCCUGCCUGGGCGUCACACGUCGUUGCCCCCCCAUCUACUCCUUCGGGAUUGCGGGGGGCGGAUGAUGGCCUCCCGUGCGCCUCGUCGCGCGGUUGGCAUAAAUGCCAAGUCCUCGGCGACGCACGCCACGACAAUCGGUGGUUGCGAAACCUCGGUUGCCCGUCGUGUGCGGUCGUCGCGCAUCGAGGGCUCGAAAAAAUUGCCGGGCUCCGGCUCGGCUUUCAACGCGACCCCAGGUCAGGCGGGGUUACCCGCUGAAUUUAAGCAUAUCAAAAGCGGAGGA
rnacentral:misc_RNA from 1 species